GCGUGUCGGGGGAAAGAAAAGGAACUAGAUCCUCCACUUCAGGAUUGAAGUCUUUUUUUUUUCUGUUGUUACUGACACAAUAAAACAACAAUAACAAACAA